rnacentral:rRNA from 1 species
UACGGGGGGGGUAAGCGUUGUUCGGAAUUACUGGGCGUAAAGGGCUCGUAGGCGGCCAACUAAGUCAGACGUGAAAUCCCUCAGCUUAACUGGGGAACUGCGUCUGAUACUGGAUGGCUUGGAUUCGGGAGAGGAAUGCGGAAUUCCAGGUGUAGCGGUGAAAUUCGUAGAUAUCGGGAGGAACACCCGUGGCGAAGGCGGCUUCCUGGUCCGACACCGACGUUCAGGCACGAAAGCGUGGGGAGCAAACAGG